rnacentral:rRNA from 1 species
CCUACGGGAGGCAGCAGUGGGGAAUAUUGGACAAUGGGCGAAAGCCUGAUCCAGCAAUGCCGCGUGAGUGAUGAAGGCCUUAGGGUUGUAAAGCUCUUUUACCAGGGAUGAUAAUGACAGUACCUGGAGAAUAAGCUCCGGCUAACUCCGUGCCAGCAGCCGCGGUAAUACGGAGGGAGCUAGCGUUGUUCGGAAUUACUGGGCGUAAAGCGUACGUAGGCGGUUAUUCAAGUCAGAGGUGAAAGCCUGGAGCUCAACUCCAGAACUGCCUUUGAAACUAGAUAGCUAGAAUCUUGGAGAGGUGAGUGGAAUUCCGAGUGUAGAGGUGAAAUUCGUAGAUAUUCGGAAGAACACCAGUGGCGAAGGCGACUCACUGGACAAGUAUUGACGCUGAGGUACGAAAGCGUGGGGAGCAAACAGGAUUAGAUACCCUGGUAGUCCACGCCGUAAACGAUGAUAACUAGCUGUUCGGGCUCUACGAGCUUGNGUGNGCNNCUACGCAUAGUUAUCGCCGUGGAGGUACGGUCGCGAGAAUAACUACAAGAAGUAGUACGGCGNGAGACGUGCCGACGGACGACGACGAGGGAGGAGG